CUUAAAAUCUCUUUUGAUAUUUUGAUGUAAUAUUUUGUGCCAGUUCUUAUUCUGUUCAUUCUUUUGAUACUAUACGUGAAAUUUGGCGAUUGCCUUCUUUUGUGGCACGCUGGUCCAGAAUCAAUAGCUCACCAAAUUUGUUAAAGGAACAGCUGGAGAUUUAAUGUAGUUUCUUCUCCAAGAACUAGUGCCAAUAAUGUUGGCUCUAAAUAUCAGGAUUACUUGAAAUUAUUUGAGGUUCCUUUCACUCUGAAGGGUUCUAGUCGUUCUUUUUGUGGUUUCUAGUUUGAACAUCAAGAUUAUGGGGGCCAUCUGUUGUGUGGCUGCUCUAAGGAAGAAACCUUUGUUUUCCUAUUACAAGAUGAGCGGCAGUCAUUCUGCUCAUAAGAAUGCUGGAUGCUCCUCUAGAUGGAGCUUUCUACGUGGCAACCGAACUCAUACAAUGGAUGUUUUCGACAACCAUUCUGAGUUUUCUCAUCACAACAGUGGGAAUAUGGACUCAGAAUUUAAGCAUCGCAUAGAAACAGAUCAUGAAGGUCUUCUAGCUGGGAAGACAUCGGUAGCAGCUUCUCAGGCACUCAGACAACUGAAGUCUCCUGAUUAAUUGAGCAUUGGUUGUAGCUCCAAAGUGGCUGCUGAAGAUGGAUCCAUCAGAAGAAAUUUACCCUUCAAUGUGAGCUGGAAUAAAAUGGAGACAUUUAUUAGAUAUUCCUAUUCAUUCUUUGCUGUUAAUUUCCAUGAUUGAUGCUCAAUUAAGUUUGCUUUGA